CCCAGUCUCAAGGGAUCCUUCUGCUUUGGCCUCCUGAGUCGCUGGGACCACAGUAUUUUGUCAUCUGCAUACCUAAGGAAACUAUUAUCCACUAUGUUACCUGGAACCUUCAUACAAAUUGUUGAACGAACCUGCCCCCAAUGUACAAUGCUAUUGAACAUAACUUUCUUAGUCCUGCAAAGCCGAUACAGAUCUUGGAAGAGAAACGCUUGAAUGUACUGACCCAAAUGGUUACUGAUCUAUUAUGCAAAAACCUUAAAGUACUAGCAAUUAAAUCUGGCUCUUAUAGUCUUCUCACAGACAAAUCUUGCUCAUUCUGAAAAGUUUCUUUGAAGAAAGAAUUGGUUCUUGACGCUCUGAAAUAUACUUGUCUCUCUUAUUUGAGUUGGAUGAAUUGUUGCUGUUUUGGAAUCUGCACUGUGUGUGGGAUGGGGAUGUGGGAGUUACCUGUCCCCUGAGGCAGACAGAGUCUUUCCCUCCCCUCCCUUCUCUGCCCUACCUGGGCCAUCUCACCCCUCAAUCAUCUCCCUAUCUACCUUCGGAGGACCAUUUCCUCUUAGUGACUGAUAAUGAAAUUCCUGAACAGAGUUCAGGAUGCCAGGGAUUUUAACAGUCAAGACUCAACCAAGGAGAAGACAUUGAGAAAGCAGCAGGCACACCUGUGUUCAGAUAAGCUGACUUUCCUGUGUUUUGCAUUUGUUCCAUCUGUCACCAUGGGAACAAUGGCAGUGCACCUGUCCCACUUGGCAGGGACUUCAGUUGGACCCAUUCUGCACCCCACAGCUCGGAACUCAAACUGCCAUGGAGGAGUCAAGAGACCUACAUGCUGCUCACCUGUCCUGGGUGUGGUCUUGAAUCAACUUUAGCUUUUCUGAGCCUUACAUGUUUUCUAUGUUUAAAAGAUGAAAAAUAAAUCUAGACCUCUACCUA